CCCUUAGAUGUUCUGGGCCGCACGCGCGCUACACUGAUGCAUUCAACGAGUCUAAAACCUGCUCUGAUAGGGGUGGGUAAUCUUUUGAAUGUGCAUCGUGAUUGGGAUAGAUGAUUGCAAUUUUUCAUCUUCAACGAGGAAUGCCUAGUAAACACAAGUCAUCAGCUUGCAUUGAUUACGUCCCUGCCCUUUGUACACACCGCCCGUCGCUCCUACCGAUUGAAUGAUCCGAUGAAUAUCAUGGAUUGAGGAUUAUAGCAGGUUCGCCUGUCUUGAUCUUCGAGAAGUGAAGUAAAUCUUAUCAUUUAGAGGAAGGAGAAGUCGUAACA
rnacentral:rRNA from 1 species